CCUACGGGAGGCAGCAGUGAGGAAUAUUGGUCAAUGGCCGCAGGGCUGAACCAGCCAAGUCGCGUGAGGGAUGACGGUCCUAUGGAUUGUAAACCUCUUUUGUAAGGGAGCAAAGGGCGCCACGUGUGGCGCUUUGCGAGUACCUGAAGAAAAAGCAUCGGCUAACUCCGUGCCAGCAGCCGCGGUAAUACGGAGGAUGCGAGCGUUAUCCGGAUUUAUUGGGUUUAAAGGGUGCGCAGGCGGAAUGUAAAGUCAGCGGUAAAAUUUCGGGGCUCAACCCCGUCGUGCCGUUGAAACUGGCGUUCUUGAGUGAGCGAGAAGUAUGCGGAAUGCGUGGUGUAGCGGUGAAAUGCAUAGAUAUCACGCAGAACUCCGAUUGCGAAGGCAGCAUACCGGCGCUCAACUGACGCUCAUGCACGAAAGCGUGGGUAUCGAACAGGAUUAGAUACCCGAGUAGUC
rnacentral:rRNA from 1 species